GAUGAAGAACGUAGCGAAAUGCGAUAAGUAGUGUGAAUUGCAGAAUUCAGUGAAUCAUCGAAUCUUUGAACGCACAUUGCGCCCUUUGGUAAUCCUUAGGGCAUGCCUGUUCGAGCGUCAUUUAAACCUUCAAGCUAAGCUUGGUGUUGGGUGACUGUCCGCUUCACUGCGGACUCGCCUCAAAAUUAUUGGCGGCCGGUACAUUGGCUUCGAGCGCAGCAGAAACGCGAACUCGGGCCCGUCGUAUUGGCUCCCAGAAGCUAUCUUCACAAUUUUGACCUCGGAUCAGGUAGGGAUACCCGCUGAACUUAAGCAUAUCAAUAAGCGGAGGA
rnacentral:misc_RNA from 1 species